AAACACCAGUUCCCGUAGGAUCACCGAAGUUAAGCAACGUCGAGCCUGGUCAGUACCUAGAUAGGUGACCGCUUAGGAAUACCAGAUUCUGUAA
rnacentral:rRNA from 1 species